UGACAAUUAAACAUUGAUGUUUGAAAUGUCCCGAAGUAAUGAAUAAAUAUUUUGAAUUAUGAGCUGUUGUAACUUAGUCGCCAUAAUUUCUACAAUCGGCAGGGAGAGAUCCUGGACUGCGCCAGAGCCGUUCAUGUGUUGGUUCUGGGCUUGCUGCAUGGCUUGCUGCUGCAGCGCGAGGAGGUUGGGGAAGGGCGGCAUCCCGGGCAGGUUGUGCAGGUUGGGGAUGUUCCCCUGGGGCUGCAGCUUCGCGAGCUCCCGGUGGUAGGCCUCCAGCGCCAGGCGGAUGUCCUCGGGCGGCCGCUCCAUGUGUGGGGGCAUCCCGCCGCUGAAAAAAGGGAAGCCAUCGCGACUGUGCCUCAUGUCCUCCACCCUCCGCGUCAUGAUCUUGGCCAGCUCCUCCUGGUAGAUCCGCACCACCUUCUCCUGAGGAAUGUCGUCGUUCUCAUACUUCUUCAGUCUUCUGUUCUGG